rnacentral:rRNA from 1 species
GUCUACAGCCAUGCCGUCCUGAACAUGCCUGAUCUCGUCUAAUCUCAGAAGCUAAGCAGGGUUGGGCCUGGUUAGUACUUGGAUGAGAGACGACCUAGGAAGACGAGAGACGAAAUAAA